rnacentral:rRNA from 1 species
AUUGAACGCUGGCGGCAGGCCUAACACAUGCAAGUCGAACGAGUGGCGGACGGGUGAGUCAUGUCUGGGAAACUGCCCGAUGGAGGGGGAUAACUACUGGAAACGGUAGCUAAUACCGCAUACCAUCGGAUGUGCCCAGAUGGGCUUAGCUAGUGGGUGGGGUAAUGGCUCACCUAGGCGACGAUCCCUAGCUGGUCUGAGAGGAUGACCAGCAACACGGGAACGGGGACACGGUCCAGACUCCUACGGGAGGCAGAAGUGGGGAAUAUUGGCAAAUGGGGGCAAGCCGGAUGCAGCCAAGCCGCGUGGAUGAAGAAGGCCUUCGGGUGGUAAAGUACGUUCAGCGGGGAGGCGUUACCCGCAGAAGAAGCACCGGCUAACUACGUGCCAGCAGCCGCGGUAAUAC